rnacentral:rRNA from 1 species
CCCACCCGAUCCCAUUCCGAACUCGGUCGUUAAGUCCCCCUGGGCCAAUGGUACUUCGUCUCAAGGCGCGGGAGAGUAGGUCGCCGCCAGGU